UCCGACCUCAGAUCGAACGAGAUUACCCGCUGAAUUUAAACAUAUCACUAAGCGGAGGAAAAAAAACU
rnacentral:rRNA from 1 species